rnacentral:lncRNA from 1 species
AAAUAUAACAGGUUGAACAGAAGAUGAUAUAUUGAUGCAAUACUACACUGCAUAUAAAAAAAAGAAGUGGUAUGAUUGCCAAUGAGACAACUGUCCACAAGAGACCAAAAUGACACAAACAUUAACAACUAUAGGUCAACGUAAGGCCUUCAAUAAUGAGGAAAGUUCACACCGCGUAGUCAGCUAUUAAAGGCCCAGAUAUGCCAAUGUAAAAUAAUUCAAACAAGAAAACUAACGGCUUUGUUUAUAUAUAUAAAAAAUGAACGAAAAACAAAUUUGUAACACAUAAACAAACGGCAAC